AGGCCUAUUAGCUCAGCUGGUUAGAGCGUCGUGCUAAUAACGCGAAAGUAACAGGUUNGAACCCUUGACGCCUC
rnacentral:tRNA from 1 species